CGGGAGUAACUAUGACUCUCU
rnacentral:ncRNA from 3 species